rnacentral:rRNA from 1 species
GACGGAGGAGGCAAGCGUUAUCCGGAAGUAUUGGGCGUAAAGGGUACGUAGGCGGCUGGUCAAGUCUGGGGUCAAAGGCCACAGCUCAACUGUGGAAAGGCCCUGGAAACUGACCGGCUAGAGUGAGGUAGGGGUUGCGGGAAUUCCCGGUGUAGCGGUGAAAUGCGUAGAGAUCGGGAAGAACACCUGAGGCGGAAGCGCGCAACUGGGCCUCACCUGACGCUGAGGUACGAAAGCUAGGGGAGCGAAUGGG